AUUGAACGCUGGCGGCAUGCUUUACACAUGCAAGUUGAACGGUAACAGGCCGCAAGGUGCUGACGAGUGGCGAACGGGUGAGUAAUGCAUCGGAACGUGCCCAGUCGUGGGGGAUAACGCAGCGAAAGCUGCGCUAAUACCGCAUACGAUCUAUGGAUGAAAGCGGGGGACCGUAAGGCCUCGCGCGAUUGGAGCGGGCGAUGUCAGAUUAGGUAGCUGGUGGGGUAAAGGCUCACCGAGCCAACGAUCUGUAGCUGGUCUGAGAGGACGACCAGCCACACGGGGACUGAGACCCGGCCCAGACUCCUACGGGAGGCAGCAGUGGGGAAUUUUGGACAAUGGGCGCAAGCAUGAUCCAGCAAUGCCGCGUGCAGGAAGAAGGCCUUCGGGUUGUAAACUGCUUUUGUACGGAACGAAACGGUCCUGGUUAAUACCCGGGGCUAAUGACGGUACCGUAAGAAUAAGCACCGGCUAACUACGUGCCAGCAGCCGCCGUAAGAC
rnacentral:rRNA from 1 species